GAGCCUAGUGCAGAAAGUACCCCCUGGGGGGAGGCUGAUGGCCUGGAAAAGGACAAAUGGAAAAUGGAAUUAGGGGCCAGAUUCUGAGGCAAGGCGAUAGGGAGCUACAGAGAACUGGGCGAUCUGGUUGUGGGAAGAAAUUGGGGCUGGAGAGAGGGAGAGGUUGAAGUGACUUGUGGACCACACGGGAUAGGUGGGUGUAGUGUGGGUGUGUGGAGAUACUCUGGGGUCCAGGGAGGUGCACUGGGUCAGGAAGAGACUGUGGGGUGAGAAGGGAGUCGACAGAAUGGGAAAGGGAAAGAGGGAAAUUUGGCAUCAAGCCAUCCCAGAACAGAGCCAUCUUCUGCUCCCAGCUGUGGACCCCUCUCUCCAGCCUGAGCAUGCUGCUCCCUUGGCUCAUGGUUUCCCCUUUCAUUGUGCAGUGUAGUUCAUGCUAGCCAGUGUUCUGGUUGAUGGAAAGGUUGCCACUGUCCCACCUCCCUGGGCCUCCCCUAUCUUUGCUGAGUUUCCCCUUUUCCACAUUUUGCCCUUCCUAGGUAGUGGGAGUCUAGUUCCUAGGUCAAUGCCAGCCAUAGCCAAGGGCACACGGUAGCAGAUGGCUGUGCAAAGCCACUUUCAGGCUGUGGACGCAGGGCUGAGAAAUGGGAAAUCUGCCAGUGCCCAUUCCAGCUUUGACCUGGCUGGGGCAGCCUUGGGUCAAGGGCUCUCUGUAGUCCUGGUUUCCACCAUCAUCAGGAAGGGGAACUUCAAGAGUCAUCUAGGCAGGCACCCCAGGACUGUGCCAGGAAGACCUGGGUUUAAGCCCUGCCUCCAUCAAUCUCAAGAUAUGCAACCUGAGGGAAGGGAGGGGCGGCAUUGCCGAGGAUGUGUGCACCUGUGCAGGUACCUGCAGCCAGUCCUUCACCUGUAAGUCAUUGUUACCCUGGAGUCAAACUGUUCGGAGACCCGGCUGUGCUCUGAGUGACUCUUCAGUCAGAAAGUUACAGCAGACUCGACUGAAGCACGCCGCAGACUGCUGGCGCUUGACGUUGCUUCAUUUCAGUUUGGUUUCAUUUUCCUCCCCAGCUGGCUCUUGAAAUACUCCUCUAUUUCUCAAACCAAUGUUUGUAAGUAUCUCUCCUAGUGUCACUCAGAGCUUUGUUGCCCCUGGGCGACCAAAACACAGACCGAUCUCCCUGCCAUUACAGAAUUAUAUCCUGGGAUUAACCAUGAAAGGGAAAAGAAAAGCAU